rnacentral:rRNA from 1 species
CCUACGGGAGGCAGCAGUGAGGAAUAUUGGUCAAUGGGCGCGAGCCUGAACCAGCCAAGUAGCGUGAAGGAUGAAUGCACUACGUGUUGUAAACCUCUUUUAUAAAGGAAUAAAGUGAGGCACGAGUGCCUUUUUGUAUGUACUUUAUGAAUAAGGAUCGGCUAACUCCGUGCCAGCAGCCGCGGUAAUACGGAGGAUCCGAGCGUUAUCCGGAUUUAUUGGGUUUAAAGGGAGCGUAGAUGGCUUGUUAAGUCAGUUGUGAAAGUUCGCGGCUCAACCGUAAGAUAGCAAUUGAUACUGGCAGCCGUGAGUACGAGUGAAGUAGGCGGAAUGCGUGGUGUAGCGGUGAAAUGCUUAGAUAUCGCGCAGAACUCCGAUUGCGAAGGCAGCUUACUAAACUGCCACUGACAUUGAGGCACGAAAGUGUGGGUAUCGAACAGGAUUAGAUACCCUAGUAGUC